rnacentral:pre_miRNA from 1 species
UCUAGAACUCAAGAUAUGGGUGAACACUGAAUAGUGUUUGGGCUUCACGACAGAUUCCAACGUCUCCGUUGUUGCUACGAUUUGAACUCAAAAAUGGCACUUUUAAAUCUUGGUCUCUUUCAUGAAGUUUUAGGCCUAUGUUUAGCUUUCCAUA